UCGAAAGCCUGUCCCAGUUCGGACUGGAGUCUGCAACCCGACUCCACGAAGUUGGAUUCGCUAGUAAUCGNGCAUCAGCCAUGGCGCGGUGAAUACGUUCCCGGGCCUUGUACACACCGCCCGUCAAGCCAUGGGAGCCGGGGGCGCCUGAAGUCCGGGACCGCGAGGACCGGCCUAGGGCGAAACUGGUAACUGGGGCUAAGUCGUAACAAGGUACC
rnacentral:rRNA from 1 species